CUCUGUCUGUGUAGUGGAGAGACCGUGGAAAAUGCAUUAUGUGCUUGCUGCAAAGGUAUAAAAAUUGGAAAAAUUCUGAUCCACCGAGAUGGAGACAAUGGGAAACAGCUUCUAUUUGAGAAGCUUCCCAAGGAUAUAUCUGAACGUCAUGUUUUACUGCAAGAUCCGGUUCUAGCUACAGCUGAUGAAAUUGAUAACAGCACAGCUGAUGCAACUAGACAAUGCUAGUAUGCUUUUCUUCGCAUUCAUUUUAUGCAUGGCAUUGAUGGAUGUACUUCUCUGAUGGCUAUUUUGGAAGGUAAUUCUGCUAAUCAAGC